CCCUUAGAUGUUCGGGGCCGCACGCGCGCUACACUGAAUGGAUCAACGUGCCUUUCCCGAGGCUGAAAAGUCGAGGUAAUCCGUUGAACCCCAUUCGUGACGGGGAUAGGAGCUUGCAAUUAUUCUCCUUGAACGAGGAAUUCCCAGUAAGCGCGAGUCAUCAGCUCGCGUUGAUUACGUCCCCGCCCUUUGUACACACCGCCCGUCGCUACUACCGAUCGGAUUGUCCUGUGAAUUUCUAGGAGAGUUGAGGUCCUGGCGCUUCGGUGUCGGCGACCUCAUGCUUGAAUUGAAUUGAACUGGACUCUCUAGAGGAAGUAAAAGUCGUAACA
rnacentral:rRNA from 1 species